AACGCUGGCGGCGUGCUUAACACAUGCAAGUCGAGCGAGGGUCCAACCGGUGGCAACACCGGGGAAGACCUAGCGGCGAACGGGUGAGUAACACGUGAGAAACCUGCCCCGAAGUUCGGGAUAACCCGGGGAAACCCGAGCUAAUACCGGAUACCCACGAUUGGUCGCAUGGCCGAUCGUGGAAAGAACUUCGCUUCGGGAGGGUCUCGCGGCCUAUCAGCUUGUUGUGGGGUAACGGCCCACCAAGGCAUCGACGGGUAGCUGGUCUGAGAGGACGAUCAGCCACACUGGGACUGAGACACGGCCCAGACUCCUACGGGAGGCAGCAGUGGGGAAUCUUGCGCAAUGGGCGAAAGCCUGACGCAGCAACGCCGCGUGCGGGAUGAAGGCCUUCGGGUUGUAAACCGCUUUCAGUAGGGACGAAAUUGACGGUACCUACAGAAGAAGCCCCGGCCAACUACGUG
rnacentral:rRNA from 1 species